GAUGAAGAACGUAGCGAAAUGCGAUAAGUAAUGUGAAUUGCAGAAUUCAGUGAAUCAUCGAAUCUUUGAACGCACAUUGCGCCCCUUGGUAUCCCGAGGGGCAUGCCUGUUCGAGCGUCAUUUCACCACUCAAGCCUGGCUUGGUGUUGGGCGACGUCCCCUUUAGGGACGCGCCUCGAAACGCUCGGCGGCGUGGCACCGGCUUUAAGCGUAGCAGAAUCUUUCGCUUUGGAAGUCGGGGCCCCGCCUGCCGGAAUACCUACUCGUAAGGUUGACCUCGGAUCAGGCAGGGAUACCCGCUGAACUUAAGCAUAUCAAUAAGCGGAGG
rnacentral:misc_RNA from 1 species